GAAUGGAUAGCUUAAUCUAAAGCAACGUACUCAUAAUGCGUACCAUAGAUGUUCGAAUCAUCUUUCAGCUU
rnacentral:tRNA from 1 species